GGAGAGGUGCCAGAGUGGUCGAAUGGGGCUGACUCGAAAUCAGUUGUCUCACCUUGGUGGGACCGUGGGUUCGAAUCCCACCCUCUCCG
rnacentral:tRNA from 1 species